rnacentral:rRNA from 1 species
CCGACGGGAGCUUGCUCCCUUAGGUCAGCGGCGGACGGGUGAGUAACACGUGGGUAACCUGCCUGUAAGACUGGGAUAACUCCGGGAAACCGGGGCUAAUACCGGAUGCUUGAUUGAACCGCAUGGUUCAAUCAUAAAAGGUGGCUUUCAGCUACCACUUGCAGAUGGACCCGCGGCGCAUUAGCUAGUUGGUGAGGUAACGGCUCACCAAGGCGACGAUGCGUAGCCGACCUGAGAGGGUGAUCGGCCACACUGGGACUGAGACACGGCCCAGACUCCUACGGGAGGCAGCAGUAGGGAAUCUUCCGCAAUGGACGAAAGUCUGACGGAGCAACGCCGCGUGAGUGAUGAAGGUUUUCGGAUCGUAAAACUCUGUUGUUAGGGAAGAACAAGUACCGUUCGAAUAGGGCGGUACCUUGACGGUACCUAACCAGAAAGCCACGGCUAACUACGUGCCAGCAGCCGCGGUAAUACGUAGGUGGCAAGCGUUGUCCGGAAUUAUUGGGCGUAAAGCGCGCGCAGGCGGUUUCUUAAGUCUGAUGUGAAAGCCCCCGGCUCAACCGGGGAGGGUCAUUGGAAACUGGGGAACUUGAGUGCAGAAGAGGAGAGUGGAAUUCCACGUGUAGCGGUGAAAUGCGUAGAGAUGUGGAGGAACACCAGUGGCGAAGGCGACUCUCUGGUCUGUAACUGACGCUGAGGCGCGAAAGCGUGGGGGAGCGAACAGGAUUAGAUACCCUGGGUAGUCCAC